UACGUAUGGAGCAAGCGUUAUCCGGAUUUACUGGGUGUAAAGGGAGCGUAGGCGGUACGGCAAGUCAGAAGUGAAAGCCUGGGGCUCAACCCCGGAAUUGCUUUUGAAACUGUCGAACUAGAGUGUCGGAGGGGUAAGCGGAAUUCCUAGUGUAGCGGUGAAAUGCGUAGAUAUUAGGAGGAACACCGGUGGCGAAGGCGGCUUCCUGGUCUGCAACUGACAUUGAGGCGCGAAAGCGUGGGGAGCAAACAGG
rnacentral:rRNA from 1 species